rnacentral:rRNA from 1 species
AUUGAACGCUGGCGGAAUGCUUUACACAUGCAAGUCGAGCGGCAGCGCGGGGCAACCUGGCGGCGAGCGGCGAACGGGUGAGUAACACAUCGGAACGUGCUCAGACGUGGGGGAUAGCCCGGCGAAAGCCGGAUUAAUACCGCAUACGAUCUAAGGAUGAAAGCGGGGGACUCGCAAGGGCCUCGCGCGUUUGGAGCGGCCGAUGGCAGAUUAGGUAGUUGGUGGGGUAAAGGCUUACCAAGCCUGCGAUCUGUAGCUGGUCUGAGAGGAUGAUCAGCCACACUGGGACUGAGACACGGCCCAGACUCCUACGGGAGGCAGCAGUGGGGAAUUUUGGACAAUGGGCGCAAGCCUGAUCCAGCCAUUCCGCGUGCAGGACGAAGG